rnacentral:rRNA from 1 species
GAUGAACGCUGGCGGCGUGCCUAAUACAUGCAAGUCGAGCGAAGAGGGGACGGGCGAGUAAAACGUGGAUAACCUACUAUAACACCGGGAUAACCUCCGGAAACCGGAGCUAAACCGGAUCCUUAUAGAUGGAUCCGCGCUGCAUUAGCUAGUUUGUAAGGUAACGGCUUACCAAGGCAACGAUGCAGAGCCGACCUGAGAGGGUGAGCGGCCACACUGGAACGGAGAGACGGUCCAGACUCCUACGGGAGGCAGCAGUAGGGAAUCUUCCGCAAUGGGCGAAAGCCUGACGGAGCAACGCCGCGUGAGUGAUGAAGGUGUUCGGAUCGUAAAACUCUGUGAUUAGGGAAGCGGUACCUGAUCAGAAAGCCACGGCUAACUACGUGCCAGCAGCCGCGGUAAUUC